rnacentral:sRNA from 1 species
CACCUCGUUCCUCAGCUCGCUCCGGAGUUCCUC